rnacentral:lncRNA from 1 species
UCUUUUCACUCCCACACUUUCUUUUUUCAUUUUUAAUUUUCUAAAUCAACCCCCAUAACCCUCUAGAACCCUCUCAUUCUCAAUCUCUUUCAACUCAUCAGAACUCUAUAAUCUUCAACCUCCUCACCUCAGUAAUCUCCCAUUAGCUUCCUCAAAAUCCUCACCAAGACCACCAAAUUUCAAAAUUAAAACCCCAAAAAAUUAUUUUGUUUCCCUUUUUGAUUUUGUCAUAGUAUUUGGUCUGUUUGAGGUUGAAGCUUGCAUCAAUCAAUUAUUUGUGACUCAUGCAUUAUUUUGACGUUGGUCGAGUUGCAACUUUUUCCUCCCUUUAGAUUGAAAUCUUGGGUUUUUUUUAUCCAAGACUUCCAUUUUCUGAUUUUUGUUUCCAAAAAGGAUUAUUCGGAUGAUUUGCAAUUCCGAGUUCAAUUUAUGGUUUUUUUUUAUUGGAUAUUUGUAUUUGAAGCUCUGCACCUACUGAUUUCUCAUUAGCAAUUUAAGGUCCAUCUCUCUUCUCUUAUCUCACUGACUUUGGUCCAUCUCUCUUCUCUUAUCUCACUGACUUUUAGUUGGAUCUAAAUAUGAUUUGAGCCUCAAUUAAAAAGGAUACUUGAAUAUACUAUUAUCUACAUCUUUAUAGAUUAUAAAGUAGUUAAUUUUGGUAGUUGUUAUUAUCUACAACUUUAUAGAUGUAGUUAUUUUGUAGUCAUGUUGAUUAGUUGUCUUAAUUUUAAGAUUAAUUGUAGUUGCUAUUUUCUACAUAUUUACAAAUGUUGUUAUUUUGUAGUAGAUAGUUCCUAUUGUUUCUUUUUUUGGAAGAAUUAUGUAUGUAUUAUGUAGAUUAAUGCUUAUUUUUUAUGUUAAUGUGAAAUAAAAAUUUUUUUUGUGCAGAAUGUACAUUAUUUUGCACCACAUAAGUGAGGUUACAUGCAGGCUGAAGGGUACUCCCGAUUUGAAUGAGAAGAUCAGAUUGCAUAGAAAGAAGAAAUAGUCUACUGUUUUCCUAAUUUAGUUGCUGCAAAUUUGUAGUUGAAGGAGAUGGAUCUACUUUUUUGGAAACAAUAGCUUAUUGUGUUUAAUUUUUUAGUUUUAUAUGUUAUUGCUAAUUCAGUUGCUGCAAAUUUGUAGUUGAAGGCGA